CAUCUGAAGAACUGCUGAUAAUCCACGAGCCUAAGAUUGAGUUUUCAGAAUUUGGAUUUCCUCAGGACUACUGCUUCACAUUGGGUUUCUUUUUUUUGUUGGAUACAAGAACUUUCAAAGGUUUUGUCAAGAACAAGUUGAAGAAUUUUUUUAUUAGAUUUUUGGGGCUACAUCUGACCAUUGGGGAAAAUUGGAUUUUUACCAUGUUUUCCACACAAAGAAGAAAUGGAUCAAUCCAGGAAAAGGGGUACAAGCCUCACUCUGUCUCCUUGCAAAUUUAAAAAGUUCACUUAGACACAGUUAUAGGGAAGAUAUAGGGACAGAUAUUUUGUGAAAUCCAAAUUCUUUUGCAUAGUCAUUCACAUUUUCAAACAUAUGUAUGAUCUCUUGUGUGAAUUGCAAGGGAUCUGAGCUUGUGCCGCAUGCAUGGUAGAGGGCGCAAUAAUGUCACACAGAGAGAACGUGUUAAGCCAACCACAUUAAAAAAGACAGAAGUGCUCAGUGUUUGCGGGAGGAAACACGAGCAUGUCUUUUCAUGUUAAAGUUGUUAUCCAACUACAGCCAGCACAUCAACAACUUAAUCCUCAUUAUCAUCCGCCAUGGUUGUUGUUUUUCUUCCUGCUUGAGCGUAUGAAGUCACAGCAUAGUGAUGUUUGUUGAAUAUCAAUGACAUUCGGGUCAGAUGAAUCAUGGGAUUUAUGCGACCUGACGGUAUAGACACAGGUCACAUUUGAAAAGAUCAGAUAGAUAUCAGAUUUAGGACCACAUAUCCAGGUGAUCCUAAAUCCGAUAUGUUUGUGAGUUGCUUUAGAAAAAAUCCUAUCUGUGUUGUUCAGACUGUUAUGAAAAGAUCAGAUGAAGGUCACAUUAAGGGAAAAAUAAUCUGAUUUGGUCACUUCAGCUUUUUUAAUAUUGCUACAACUUUGUUUCACCAGGAACUUUUCUCCAUACAAAUUUAUAUUUCAAGCUUACAAAGUCAGGCAUAGUGAUUAAUUGUGAUUAUUCACUGAGCUAGAGUGUGACUAAUCUGAUCCUUUUUUUAAUCGAUUGACAGCACUAGUUUUAAUUCACGUCUUAUUAGAAUUACUUAGACCUUUCACUAAAUGUACUUAAUACAUUUCAGACACGACUUUCAGCAUGCAUAUUGUAUCCUCUUUUUCUUUCUAGCAGGGUUUGGGACACCAUCAGAUCUUUUACCGCCUGGCACUAUAGCAUCAUCUGUCUUGUCGAAAGCCUCCCCAUUAAAUACGAGUCAAUGCAUGAAAUUUAGUUUUUGCAUAAAAACAACUGGGCUUGAUAAAAUGACAAGAAAUGCGGAAAAAAUUACUCAACGAAGUAUCACUGCUGGGAUUAUGGCUGGAAGAUCACAAAAAAGUACAGACACUUCCAGGUCAGGUAAUCGAGCCAAGAUACUGAAGAUGAUCUCAGUCCUUGCAGAGCUGCACAAGACCUUCAACAGCACACUGAGUUCACAAAUCACUCUUAUCCCUCAUGCAAACAGCAAAAAUCCUAGAAGAAAAAGUAAAGUGCUCCCUGCUCCAGUAAAGACAACUGCUGCCUCUCUGCCAGCCUCGCAGACCACUGCUUCCAGGUCAAGCCCAGACUCUAUUGCCCUGAGUAUGCCGGGCCGAAACUUCAGGAAGUCUCUGCCACCACAGACCAAGAAGACCAACAAAAGAGUGUGUUUCUGGAAGUACUGUUCCCAGAACUGAAGUCUCCCAGCUAACACUGGUGUCCACUCAACACUAGUCACCUAUGUCUGAUCUUCCUACCGGUGAUGUCUUCUCAACUAAUGAUCAACUCAACCAUCUAUCCCAACAGAGCCAGCCACAAAUAGUUCUCUUUUCUUGUUCUGUUCCUGUUUCAUUGUCAAGAACUUUGAAUGAGCAGUGUAAGGUUAAACUUGUUAUUUUACAGUAAUGAAAUGGUUACAUAGAGGUUAUCAAUAGUGCAAACAGAAUACCUGCUACAACAAUAAGUUGACUGUAUAUAAAAUGGUGAAUGUAUCCUUUCCUCUGCUGUGUCUUUUCUCUGACUUGUGCUAGGAGACUGUUGCCAGGCUUCAGAAAGCACCAUGUCUACCCUCAGGCUGGCGCCAGUCUUGACUUGGCCCUUUUCAUUUACUCAUUUAUUAACAAGACUGACCAAUCAAAAACAGACGAUGUGUGCUCGUGGUCUGGGCACAUGAACAGAUAGCUUUGUUAACCACAUUCUGUUAAAGGAUGGGCACAUGUCAGUUUUGUGUUUGUGCCAUGUUUAAAAUAAAAUUCAUCUGUUGCAUGACAAACAGCAGCCAUGGCGACAAUGUAUGAAAAAUGUCAUCAGCUUUCUGUAGUUUCACUGUCAGUUUGAUUCAAACUUUCAUGAUUUUAAAACUGAUGUUGCUGUAUAAAAAGUUGCCCUUUUGGAGUAUUUAGUAGAGUUUAAUUCCAAAAGUUUUAUUUACAAACUGGAACAAAAAUAAAACACAUUCCAUGAUGCUCCUUCA